UACCAGCACCCCGAGUGGUCGGGACGAUUAUUGGGCCUAAAGCAUCCGUAGCCGGUACUGCAAGUCUUCCGUUAAAUCCACCUGCUCAACAGUUGGGCUGCGGAGGAUACUACAGCGCUAGGAGGCGGGAGAGGCAAGCGGUACUCAGUGGGUAGGGGUAAAAUCCAUUGAUCCAUUGAAGACCACCAGUGGCGAAGGCGGCUUGCCAGAACGCGCUCGACGGUGAGGGAUGAAAGCUGGGGGGAGCAAACCGG
rnacentral:rRNA from 1 species